rnacentral:lncRNA from 1 species
GUAGCGUGAUGAACUUCUUUCACUUGUAUGUAGGAGACGUUUGAUCCCCAUUACAAGUAAGCUGUGCAUACGUAAAUGUUUAGCAAGUACACUUGCUGAAAGUAGAAAGCAAAUAUGAGAAAACUAUACUUUAAAGUCAAUUCAAACAAAACAUAUACAUAAUGUUCAUACUGCAAAAAUGUUGUACAGUGUUUGAAAAUAUUCACACAGCUAACCUAGCUACCGGUACUAUUGUUCCCAAGUCCUAUUAACGGUAUAACCAAUUAACUCUGUAAACACUUCACCAAAAUGAAAGACAUCUUAUAAACAUAUACACCAGAAAAUAGACACAUCAAUGUGUCAUUCAUAGAUAUACAAUCCAUUAGUCACCUUGACUUAUGAAUGUAAAUCUCACCAGUAGCAGCUAUACUAGAUACCCCUACUCACAUUUUCGGAAGUACUAGUCUAACCUAACCACUCUGGUCCUAAAAUAAUUCUCAACCCUUGUGAGAAAAAACACAUCCAGUGCAAAGUUAUAUGUCGCUACUAUAUGCUAUAUACUUAAAAAAUAAUUACAUGUAUUGAGAAUGUAAGUGUAAAACUAUCCAUGCGGUUGCUUAAUUUACAAGUGUCUACAAAAUGUAAUGUAUGCAAUCAUUGAACUCUCAAAUAAAAUUCUCCUCUGUCUCUAAUACUAACAGUUGUAUACUGCAUAUUACUCAGUUCUAUAUAUUUAUUAUAUCUUA